GACGAACGCUGGCGGCGUGCUUAACACAUGCAAGUCGAACGGAAAGGCCCUGCUUUUGUGGGGUGCUCGAGUGGCGAACGGGUGAGUAACACGUGAGUAACCUGCCCUUGACUUUGGGAUAACUUCAGGAAACUGGGGCUAAUACCGGAUAGGAGCUCCUGCUGCAUGGUGGGGGUUGGAAAGUUUCGGCGGUUGGGGAUGGACUCGCGGCUUAUCAGCUUGUUGGUGGGGUAGUGGCUUACCAAGGCUUUGACGGGUAGCCGGCCUGAGAGGGUAACCGGCCACAUUGGGACUGAGAUACGGCCCAGACUCCUACGGGAGGCAGCAGUGGGGAAUAUUGCACAAUGGGCGGAAGCCUGAUGCAGCAACGCCGCGUGCGGGAUGACGGCCUUCGGGUUGUAACCCGCUUUCGCCUGUGACGAAGCGUGAGUGACGGUAAUGGGUAAAGAAGCACCGGCUAACUACGUG
rnacentral:rRNA from 1 species